UGCAGAAAACACGCAAUUCUGAGUUUUGAUUCUCUGUUCUCUCAAACAACCAUCGCUUAAACUCUUUCUACUGCUGAAUCCUCAAGCUUUAUUCACCAAAAAAGAAAAAAAAAAUCCUAAAAAAUUCUCCUGUAGGUUCUCUACUCCUUUGAUAUUAGUACUCAAAGUAAGGAUAGGAAGAAGCUGUAGCCAACCAAUCUUUUGAUCCCUAAGACAAGGACAGAGGCUGCAUACGCACAAUUGAAGACCCAGGGGCAGGCAUUCGAGGCCAGCUGGUUGUUCUUUUCAUUUAAUAGUCUCGGCUUUUCAUGCUCUCACACAAUUAUUGGUUUUGAUUAAAGGUGUCUUGUUGUAGCACCAGCUGCACCGUGGCUACUUCAGGUAAAGCAUUCUUGUUCGGCACUAAGUUCAGUUUAAGGUUUCUCUCUUUGAAAGGCUUGAUUGAAUUUUUAUUAUAACUAUUGGGCUAAAAGCCUCCAAUCCAAUCACACCAGCGGAAGUAAAAUCAAACA